UACGUAGGGGGCUAGCGUUGUCCGGAAUCAUUGGGCGUAAAGAGCGUGUAGGCGGCCCGGUAAGUCCGCUGUGAAAGUCGGGGGCUCAACCCUCGAAUGCCGGUGGAUACUGUCGGGCUAGAGUGCGGAAGAGGCGAGUGGAAUUCCUGGUGUAGCGGUGAAAUGCGCAGAUAUCAGGAGGAACACCAAUGGCGAAGGCAGAUCUCUGGGCCGUAACUGACGCUGAGGAGCGAAAGCAUGGGGAGCGAACAGG
rnacentral:rRNA from 1 species